UCGGUUAGGGAGCACGACUAAAGGUCGCGGCGCGUCGAGGCGCGUCGCGGCGCAUUUCAACUCGCAUUCCUCGUCGUCCCGUACGAGUUUUUAACAUGAGCGAGUGUUUCGAGAGUUUCGUGGAGUGUCGGAAGUGAAGUAAAUUGUCGGGCGUUCGUGCCAACAUUCGUCGUUCGGAUGCGAUGUACCGUGCGAAGUUGUGUCGCGUUUAAUCGUGUUUUGCAUCUUCUCCGCUGCCUCAUAUUCCGAAUUUCCGAGGCAGAAAGAUUAUUGCACGGAGCAAGUGCAAAUCUUGCAAAGAAAAUGCAGGCUCAAGCUGAAGAAAAAUUUAUUGAUUAUUUUAGAUUGUCACCUCAAUUAUUUGAUAAAUUACUAAAAAAUUAGUCGGACCUGUUAUUACCAAAGUAAUUCGUAAUCUCAUUUCGCCUAAAACUCGACUACACAGAACACUACGGUUUUUAGCAUCAGGAUAUAGCAUGAAAUCGAUAUCGUAGUGACAAUUAUUUGACGAAUUAGUAAAAUUAAUAAAUUAAUUAUUUAUUAGUUAAUUAAGUCUUGUUUUUCUUUGCGACAAUACGUGAAAGACGAAUACAUGAGCAAAAUUCUUAUUCCGCUGAAAACGGAAAAAGAAAACGGCGGAAUCGGCGGAAUGAAGCCGCUACCAAUCACAAACGUUCCGCAGUUCCACCAUUCCGUAUCCAAUGUGAGAUGUGAGCGACACCGUCAAAGCGACGCGCCGUGUCGGCUUGAAAUCGUGUUGCUUUCGCUAACAAAAGUACAGUCUCUGAUGUCGUAGAUGCGCGCGAAAAUGACUCGCACGUCUUUCGAGAGAAUCGAAAACUGGCAUGUUUUUUCGUUAAAUGUGGUAUGUCCACAGAUCGCCGUACAUCUCUUAUAUCGUGCUUACUGCACUAACAAUAAGUUAUUUCACACAACUGAAUAAAUGUCCUCUGACAGUAAGGACAACCGAGAUACAAUACUAUCCAAAGAGCGUCCAGAGAAACUUAGCUAGAUGAGUUACAAUUUUUUCUGGUGAUCCUUGGAGUUGAAACAUUAACCUAAUUAACAGCCUUCCUUCGUUGCAAGAACUCAAGAAUCCUAAUUCGAGAGCCAGGAAUCGCACCCCCUCUGCUUGUCUGGAGGUUUGUGAGGUUUACACGCUCUGUCUUUGGCGAUCGAUUCGGUCCUAAGCGGAAAGAAUUUGGACAUUGAUUUCGUUUUCUCCCGCGUGGGACUUAACUCUUGUUCAGUGGACGGGUACGCGUGAGUUCCACAUAUACUUGUCGACUCGAGGUCUUACUGAAUCCACGGGACUCCCUCUGAAUUGGAAGUCUUAUCAUGGGACUUGUAAACCCGAAGUGCCGAAGUGUAAUUGCGCGAAAGACUUAUAAAUAAUUAGUUCGCGCGCGACUUUAGUAUAUUAUUCGCGAGUGUCUUAGUGAGUGCAAUAGGAGGAGGAGGAGAAAGAAGAGGUGAAGGCCUGACAACCUAGAUAUCUUGAGAGGAGGAGGAAGAGAAGAGAGAGGUCUAGAAGAGACAUGGAAUCCCGGCGGAGCAAUCUUGAGAUCAGAUGCCAUGGCGGAGGACAGGAUCGACCCGGAAUACGCCACUUGCAAGGCUACUCUCUAUAUGAGGCUGAAGAGAGGCUCGAGUGGACGGCUUUUACGUAAAAUGCAUCGAGUGCUCCUGUGCCAAAUCUAAUAAAAGACUCCUCCAGUCGCAUGAACGGGAAGGAACACACGUACUCCAGAAGAGCAGCGACGGUGGCUAAUAACAGUAAUUAGCGCGCGCGCUCGCUUGUUCGUGAAAUCGUGUUCUCGCGUGUACGUGUGUGAGCGCCAUGAGGAAACAGCUCAAGCAGCCAGGAUUCCGAGAGAAGGAGCCUGGGAGGUGUCGGGCGAUCAUGGGGAGCGGCGAGGAUAAUUAACGCGCGCGUUCGCUUGUUCGUGAAAUCGUGUUCUCGCGUGUACGUGUGUGAGUGCCAUGAGGAAACAGCUCAAGCAGCCAGGAUUCCGAGAGAAGGAGCCUGGGAGGUGUCGGGCGAUCAUGGGGAGCGGCGAGGAGUGAGUACCUUAUCAUUUAUUUGUUGUUAUUUAUAAUAUGUGUAUUUAAUUAAUUUAUGUAAGAACACACGCGUGCAUAUGUGCGCAUUUAGUUUGAAAAUAACUGCAGCGAGAUAUUAAUGUUAGUUUAGAUGAAGAAAAAGUAGAUACAAUUUUCAAAAUGGAUUUAUUUCCGACAAUGAUAGAUCGACUUUGUAUCUGUUUUAUAAGCAGCUACAAUAUGCGCUCAGAAUAAAUAUAAGAUUUAGAGAAUUUCUGUAAAAGAUGCACGCAAAUUCAUGAAAAAUACAUGAGUCGUAUAAUUUAUGUAUUUUUUUUUGCGUGCAUAUUAUAUAAUGAGACGCAUAUAACAAUCUCGAGAAGUAACUUGAAAGCGUUCGCGAAGGGUGCUCGCGAAUUGACGGCACGUCAGAAAUAUUCGUAAAGAAGAAACGUAUCUUAAUCUCGUUUAUAAUCCCGGCACUUCUGUGUUGCGUCAACAUAAUUUACGAUGAAAAAUUGCGCGGCACGGAAAAGAAAGCGACGUAUACUAAAAUCCGUGUCGAUCAUUAAUUUUCUGAGAAACCGCCAUGACGCGUGAAUACCACGCACAAACUUCAUCCGGGAAUAUAUUUAUGUUCUAUCACCGUAUACACUUCAUGUAGCGCAUACAACGAUAAUGAAUCUACGCGAGAAAUAUUGCGAAGUAUAGAAAAUUAACUGCGAAUUUAGAAUAGAUCUCAAGACUUGCGCGGUGUGUUUUUAUAUACGUAUUUUGGUACAUCGUGGCUAAUAAUUUUGAAGGAGUAAUUUCGUGAAUGCUAACAUAAGCUCUACGGUACGUCGCCUGUAUGAAAAUUCCAAACAAAAUAGAGAAGAUGGCGUUUCUUUGAUGUCACGCGCGCUAAAUAAAAAUAAAAAAAAGGAGGUCUCUAUAAUAAGGUUUCGACAAUAAAUCUCGUCUACGCGUUUAUAUCAAAGUCAUAAUUUUGGAGUUCUACGAAUUCAGCCUUCUAUUAAUUAAUCGGAACGUGUACGAACAAGUAUGGAUACCAAUGUACAUUAUUACAUAUAUUAUACAUAUCCAUGAAUACAUGAUUAUAUAAUAUAGCGCACGUAUAUUAAUCAAAAUAUAACGAGCACAUUUUUUAAUUUAACGUAGACAUUUUUAUAAACUGCUAACAUAGAAUUUUUACGGUUGAAAAAUGAACGAUAAUUAGGAAAAUAUAUUUUUAAAUUGCAUAGCUCUUUUACUCUAUAUAAAUUAUGAAGAAAAGAGAAUCAUAUAAAUUUAACGUUUUGUUCUGUGCCCCAAUACAUAAAAUAAGAAAUAUAUGUGAUCUAUCUGAAAUUAAAAAGACUCAGUUUGAUCGUUUCUGAGAGCAUCUUCUAAUCAAAAAAACUCCAUUCUACUCUUUAAUUGUAACAAUGGUAUUAAGCUUUAAACGGAGAAAUGGAAUCGUGUUAUUAGGAAAUUAACCUAAACGCACUUGUAUUCCUUCAAUAUUCAAUUAGCCUUCGGGCACAGUGCUUGUCGCUGUGUGAAACUAAAAGCAGAAUGCGUGUAGUAAUUGUACGAUCUCUAUGCCUGGCUUCUAAACAGGGAAAUGGACCAUGUAGUACGAUGCCGCGUAAACAGCGAUACAAUUCUGUAUCUGCUGCAAUAGCAAUUAUUUAUUUCUAUUAAUGUAAUAAUUAUUAUACACUUUUCUUCCAUUCUUACAAAUGAAAAUAUUGUCCUUAUAAAUUAGCUCAUGUUCAAUUUAAUAACAAUACAUGUAUAAUUUUAGGGCUCUCUUUGUUAAAGAAAGCAUUUUUGUAUAGACCAACGUUUUUUUUACCGUCGUACAAAAGCAAAUUAUAGCUUUUGACAACGCAUCACUGUGUAUUUAGCACGCAACACGCGCAGCAACGUGAGAAGCAAAAGACGAAGACGUAAUUAAAGACGCUAGGAGCAUCAAAGAAACCGAAGUAGAUCGUGCAUUCGCGAUUCUGCGAUCGCUCGCGAGACUGCGGAAUCUUGCAUAAUCCCGCGAAGCAGUUGAACGACGCAGAAUAAAGAGAUAAAUUUAUUCUCCCGUUAUCGAAAAAGAGGACGGGACGAGAAAUGGACGUCGAAUCCCUGCGUAACUCGCUUCCGCAGGGAAUUCCAUUCCUGAAAUAUUCUGUUUAUUCGUUAUUUCAAACGUGAUCUUGAAGCUUUGCUGACGACACUGGCAUAAUCCUCGUUACAUUAACAACCAUGUGAUUCCCUUAAGUGAAUAAAAUAGAAAGGUCGCUUUAAUAUGUUAGAGUGGGAAAGCUGGAAUUGUUCCAGGCGACGAUUGUAACGCUCGUAAGAAUUUAACUUAAUUGCUGCACGCACCGAAAGGAAAAAACUACUUACUUCGGCAACACAAUUGGAAACUACCUUGUGAAAAAAAUAUCCGUAUAACGACCCUGCGUCUCUGGUAUCUCGAAAUUUUGCUGAAAUUGCCGUAAUUCAAUUUGGAAUUCCGCGUCUUUUUGGCGACGCGUUACGAUGAAAGUCACGAGGAAAGUAAUUAAUUCGGGCAGAAACGGGUUAAAGUCCUGACGUCCAUCGGUAAAGAGGCAGAAAGGAAUACGAGGAAACGCUCGUAUGUUUGCUCGAAGACGUGUAUUUUCAAGCUCUGCUCCUCCCAUCUCUCUCUCUCUCUCUCUCUCUCUCUCUCUCUCUCUCUCUCUCUUCCUCUUUCCCAACGAGAAAAGACGAGGUAAACUGCUAACGCUGUACGGGUCUGGACUUCAUUUCUAAGGAAAUCCUUUCAGCGCAAACAUGAAUAAAAUAUAAAUUGUCAAUGGACAUAAGAUUGUUGGCAAACUUAACCGUGCUUAUAGAAGUCCUUUUGAAUUAUCCCCAUUUUUCUCAAUCUUUUUGUUCCAUGUCGUUGUUAAAUGUCGAUCUCUUUUGACAAAAAUCUAAUUAAAAAAUUUUUUUGUAAUUUUAAGAUUUCAUUAACUGUUUGUAAGUUGAAUUUCUUUUCAAAUUACAUAACUAAAAAUCUCGUGAUGAUUUUAUAUAAAAGUCCUGAACAUUGAAACAAAAUUUGAAAACGUAUCGGCAAUUUUUAUUUACGAAAUCGAGGCCAGUUUAUAUUUAGAUAGAUUGAUUUAUACGUAUACAUAUGUCAAUUUAGCAUCGGAGUUCUUAGCUGCUCUGUCACAGAAAAACACCAGAUAACGAGUUUAAGCAAUGACCCUACAGAUCACUCUUAAGAUACCACAUCGUUUAUAAAUAUACACUAUACACUUAAAUAAUUGUUACACAGUUUACCGAAUUUCUCUUAAGAGAAAACCAAUAUUAAAAAGUAUUUUCUAUUCCAAUUUAAUUAGGAUAAUUAUAAAAGAAGACUAUUGUAUUCGCACGUAAUCGUUUAUUGUUGGUUAAAAGCCACGUCAUAAAAAGUAAAUAUUGCUCUAGUUCUCAAACAUAAUACUGCGAUAAAACUUCAAUUCUGUUUACAAAGUCCAUUUAUCAAAGCAAAAUUGUAAUUCCCAGAACUUGCUGCUGCGGCAUCGCGCCGACCGCAAUCGCCGUCGAGAUAGCUAUUUGAUACGCAUUUCUUAUGGAUUUUCUCUUCCAGAAAUUGCCUUUGCCAGAAAUACACAAAUGCAGUUGAAUAAAUAGCCGUGAUGUCUUGGUACGCGCGAACAAUGGACACGCGCGCCGGUCUAGAUGUAUGACUGCGCUUCAGUCAAUAAACCGAUAAUACAACUUUAUUACGACAUCGUUGUGCUCGCGGAGAAAUUGCGACGGGCACAAAUUUACCGCGAUCGCGGUCAUGCGAGUCCGCAGGUGGCUCGUGAAACCGUUUUACACCUCGCGAGACAAACAAUUCGAGAUCUACGGGAUCGUUACAGUGGCGGUAAAUAAUUUCCGGUUCCAAUAUUCCGUGGAUCGUGUCGAAAAUACGUAUAGUUAAAUUUAUCUAGUAUACGCUAGAUCUAUUUAUAAAGGGUCGGCUUAAAAUUGUUUGACACUUGAAAUAAUUACGAGGACAAUUAAUUUCAAUAAAACGUGUACCUCGUCAAAAAAUAAAAAUGCAGAUUGCUCCCAUAACUACUCCAAACAGAUUGACAAAACGAAAUUGUAAAAUUUAAAGGUUUUAAGUGUCGACGUUACUAGUUUCUCCAAUCCCUCUUCAGCACAUUGUGCAUCGAACGGUUAAAUUAAACGCUUUCCAAAUGAAAUUGGCAUCGCCAAUUCAACCAAUAGAACCUCGUUACUCUUGUCCAACGUUCCUCGAAAUUUUAGUGUCGACAUUUUCGCAUUCAUUGCGAGCAAGAAUUUCAUCGAGAGGUCAGGAACAAUGUGGCAAAAAUUUCAAAUAUUAUUUUUGGUACACAUUCAAUAUUCAAAAAACGAUUAAUUAUAAUUCUCUUCUAAUUGUAGAUAUAAAACAAUACUCUCCUACAUUUUUAUAAAGCCUCUUUUGAAUUUUCUAUGAUUUUUAAUUUCAAUUGCAAUAAAAUGUAAUAAAUUUAAUAGAGCUCUGUGCCAAACUAAACCAACUGCACAAUCAAUAUGCUUUAAAUAAAUGCGCUUCCAAUUUUUGCACCUAACGAUUACAUUUAAUUUUCCUUUUGAAUCCCGUCGGUUCGAACGAUUUAUCGGCGGCGAGAACCUUUCCGUCUCGUCGCCGCGAGCGACUUUAAGGAAGGCGGGCAGCAUUAUCUACGUGUGCCGGUUCGCGGCCCGGUCCGGCAAGGGCAAUAAUUCAGCGACGAUUGCAGAGAGACGCGAUCUCUUAAGCCGCCUGUGGCACGUCGCUAUCUAUAAACUGACGUUUAGGACCCGCGUUUUGCCUCUGGCGAUACCACUCCGCGUGAACGAGCCCCGCAUGUCGGCCGCGAAGAGAGAGAGGCUCCGAUUGCGCUGGUGAGCAAACGUGCUUUCGCACUCCGAUCGGAUUUCAGAAAAUCGGCUUGCAUAUUGCGUAUCAGAAAAUCGGCUUGCAUAUUGCAUGCUCGUUAUGCUAAUCCGUUAUCUUCCUACAUGCGUUUACCCGAUGUCGUUGAAAUAUUCCGACUAUGAGAUAGUCCGCAGUCUCUUGGCAUUUGUAUCUCGAACCGCAGAAGCGAUCGACCUCUAUCGAGUCUUAUCGUUCUUAAUAAGAUUGAGUAGUUCAAAAAAGGAAAUGGGUUGCUUCUUGAGAAAGGCUUGAUUUAUAAACUCAGAUACUAAUUGUGAUUUGCCCCAAAUAUACCAAAAGGUGAGAUGCUUUUAUUUCACGAUUGAAACUCUAAAAUUAUACAAUCGCUUUUGUUUUUCUGUCCCACCGUGUACAUAAAAAAUUCAUAGCAGGUUAGGAAGAACUUUCGAAAAAGUUUCAAAAGGUUUGAAAGAUCGUUAAGUAUUUCGGUCAAUUAUCGACGACGUUAAUGUUCUAGUAAAAUGAUAAUCGACAAAUGUGGUUUUGUUAGUGUUUUUAAUUUUUAUCAUCUCAAAGAUAAUUGGAAUACAUUGAGUAUUCGAUCGACAUGGUGCUCGCAUUAAAGCGCAUACGCGAAAUCCCACACAUGCGGAACAGUGCCUUGCCAUUAUCGCAUAAGCUCUCAUGAGGAGGUUCACUGUUAUCGGGUGACCUUUCGUCGAUGGUAUUUGCGCUGGUGAGCGUAGGUGGCGGGCAAUAUGAUAAUUGGAGGAAGACGAGGCACACUGAUUAAUACGCGCAUAACAAUGCUUCCAACAAGUGAAAACGCAAACUGGUUUAAUUUCGACGACUCUCCAUCCCACUCGAUCGUCCCACGAAAUCUCUCUCUCGCGUUAUCUCUCCGAAAUUCGCUGGGGUAUUGGAAUUUAAACGACGUUGGAUUAUUGCCCUUAUCAAGGGAAAUAACAUUUGUUUACUCUCAUAUAAACUCUAGUAUUAUCUUAAAACCAGCCACGUUAACUUGGGCUUUUAUGAUAUACAUAUUAAAAAAAAAAAAAAAAAAAAAAA